AACGAACGCUGGCGGCAUGCCUAACACAUGCAAGUCGAACGAGACCUUCGGGUCUAGUGGCGCACGGGUGCGUAACGCGUGGGAACCUGCCCUUAGGUUCGGAAUAACUCCCCGAAAGGGGUGCUAAUACCGGAUAAUGUCUUCGGACCAAAGAUCUAUCGCCUUUGGAUGGGCCCGCGUUGGAUUAGCUAGUUGGUAGGGUAAAAGCCUACCAAGGCGACGAUCCAUAGCUGGUCUGAGAGGAUGAUCAGCCACACUGGGACUGAGACACGGCCCAGACUCCUACGGGAGGCAGCAGUGGGGAAUAUUGGACGAUGGGCGAAAGCCUGAUCCAGCAAUGCCGCGUGAGUGAUGAAGGCCUUAGGGUUGUAAAGCUCUUUUACCCGGGAUGAUAAUGACAGUACCGGGAGAAUAAGCUCCGGCUAACUCCGUG
rnacentral:rRNA from 1 species